AGCGGCCAGGAGGAGAUGGGGCAGGGGGCACCUAGCAGGGACUUAGAGACCGUCGCUAAGGAACUGGCGGCAGAGAGGAGAGCAGGGAAGAGGCGGAGACCAGGACUCUGCAGGACGACUGAUGAGGUUCUUCUGGGCUCCCAGUACCACAGUUUUGGUAGCAAAGGCAAAGGAGCAGCUCUGACAACUUGGGGACAGCUGGCGAUGAGGCCCCCAUCUGAUUCUGGAGUCAGUGUCUGGCUGA
rnacentral:lncRNA from 1 species